rnacentral:lncRNA from 1 species
UCAGUGGGAAGUAGAAGAUUUGAUAAAAAAUGUGAGCCCAAGGAUUUUAAUCUAUGGACAUGUGAUCUAAAAAUCCUUAAGAAAUGAGCCGCUUUCAGGAGACAUAAUCAAUGAAAUCAGGUACUGUAAAAGAAGUCUGUAGAACACAACCCAGAAAGAAGUACGAUUUCAGAGUUGUACAGCAAUGAAGAUCUUGUCUCCAAAGCUACAGGAACUGGCUAAUGUUUGGCCCUACAUCAGUCUCAUCCACCUGCAAUCACUCCUGAAAGGUAGGAAUCCUCUAUAGAUCCCUGCUCUUGGGAAUCUAAUGCCCUCAAAUGAACAACUCAGCAGCCGACAAGCAAGCUGAUAAAGCAUUCCUCGCAGAUACUUAAUGGGUACAUUCUGUAUCUCCGUCUGUAUCUUUCUGUCUGCCUAUCUUUUUUCCCCCCCCCUUAGCAUGCUUGGAAGAAGGUAGGCAAACAAACAAACCAAAAAAAGCCUGAAAGAACUACCUCUUCCCUUCGUGUCUGUAGCUGCUUUCCCAGAAGUAAUUUCCAUUUAUGGAAAUCACUCUCUCUAUUUCCCAAUUCCUC